rnacentral:rRNA from 1 species
CCUACGGGGGGCAGCAGUGGGGAAUAUUGCACAAUGGGGGAAACCCUGAUGCAGCAACGCCGCGUGAGCGAUGAAGGCUUUCGAGUCGUAAAGCUCUGUCCUAAGGGAAGAUAAUGACGGUACCUUAGGAGGAAGCCCCGGCUAACUACGUGCCAGCAGCCGCGGUAAUACGUAGGGGGCAAGCGUUAUCCGGAAUCAUUGGGCGUAAAGGGUGCGUAGGCGGCCCUAUAGGUCAGAGGUCAAAGGCUACGGCUCAACCGUAGUAAGCCUUUGAAACUGUAGGGCUUGAGUGCAGGAGAGGAGAGUGGAAUUCCUAGUGUAGCGGUGAAAUGCGUAGAUAUUAGGAGGAACACCAGUGGCGAAGGCGACUCUCUGGACUGCAACUGACGCUGAGGCACGAAAGCGUGGGGAGCGAACAGGAUUAGAUACCCUUGUAGUC